rnacentral:rRNA from 1 species
UGCGCAGGCGGUUUUGUAAGACAGAUGUGAAAUCCCCGGGCUUAACCUGGGAACUGCGUUUGUGACUGCAAGGCUAGAGUACGGCAGAGGGGGGUGGAAUUCCGCGUGUAGCAGUGAAAUGCGUAGAUAUGCGGAGGAACACCGAUGGCGAAGGCAACCCCCUGGGCCUGUACUGACGCUCAUGCACGAAAGCGUGGGGAGCAAACA